UAAUUCACUGGUACAUUCUUAAUUUUUAUAGGAUAUGUCUCUAAGUGGGUAUUCCUGCACCCAAAAACUACUACCAUGUGCACAUGCAUAGAGCAUAGACAUUUUUGGAAUUAGUUUACUGCUUCUGGAUAUCUGUUUUGCAGUUUGCCCUUGGUUUGGAAAAAGUCUCGUUGUAGAACUGCUUUUGCCAUUGACAGGUUUGUGGGUUUGCUGUUUUUUGAUAGCAGUGAGGUGGAGGGAUAUAUUGGUUUGUACAGUUUUUUGUCAUACUUGCUCUGGUUGUAGUGGCCUUCCUUUUAAGUGUUGGUUAUUUUAGUUCUACAUAGGAGUAUGCUACAACUUAACAUUCUCUGUUUUACAGGGUGGGCCUGUUUUGAGAGAAGACGUGGCUGCAAAAACACUGUUUCCAUGGCACAAGCUUGAGCAUACUGGUGUUUCUUUAAAUACCUGAAAAUGCAUAAAUCUAGUUCUGGAUGCAGAUUACUCUUUGCAGACUGAGGAACGUCCUGGCUUUCCAGCUGGCAAAUGAAGCAACGGCACCCAAAACAGCUCUGUUUUCCUGCAUCUGUCUCACUCUUUGCUCCAUUUAAAUCAAUGUCUGUUGAUGCUGUGCAGAAUUCUAAAUGGAUUGUCAGCUCAUUAAAUGUAAUUAAAUUAUUUAUUUUA